GGGAAUGUGACUCAGUGGCAGAGUGCUUGCCUAGCAUGCAUGAAGCCCUGGGUUUGAUUCCUCAGUACCA
rnacentral:tRNA from 1 species